CUGGAGGUAUCAGAAGUGCGAAUGCUGACAUAAGUAACGAUAAAGCGGGUGAAAAGCCCGCUCGCCGGAAGACCAAGGGUUCCUGUCCAACGUUAAUCGGGGCAGGGUGAGUCGACCCCUAAGGCGAGGCCGAAAGGCGUAGUCGAUGGGAAACAGGUUAAUAUUCCUGUACUUGGUGUUACUGCGAAGGGGGGACGGAGAAGGCUAUGUUGGCCGGGCGACGGUUGUCCCGGUUUAAGCGUGUAGGCUGGUUUUCCAGGCAAAUCCGGAAAAUCAAGGCUGAGGCGUGAUGACGAGGCACUACGGUGCUGAAGCAACAAAUGCCCUGCUUCCAGGAAAAGCCUCUAAGCAUCAGGUAACAUCAAAUCGUACCCCAAACCGACACAGGUGGUCAGGUAGAGAAUACCAAGGCGCUUGAGAGAACUCGGGUGAAGGAACUAGGCAAAAUGGUGCCGUAACUUCGGGAGAAGGCACGCUGAUAUGUAGGUGAAGCGACUUGCUCGUGGAGCUGAAAUCAGUCGAAGAUACCAGCUGGCUGCAACUGUUUAUUAAAAACACAGCACUGUGCAAACACGAAAGUGGACGUAUACGGUGUGACGCCUGCCCGGUGCCGGAAGGUUAAUUGAUGGGGUCAGCGCAAGCGAAGCUCUUGAUCGAAGCCCCGGUAAACGGCGGCCGUAACUAUAACGGUCCUAAGGUAGCGAAAUUCCUUGUCGGGUAAGUUCCGACCUGCACGAAUGGCGUAAUGAUGGCCAGGCUGUCUCCACCCGAGACUCAGUGAAAUUGAACUCGCUGUGAAGAUGCAGUGUACCCGCGGCAAGACGGAAAGACCCCGUGAACCUUUACUAUAGCUUGACACUGAACAUUGAGCCUUGAUGUGUAGGAUAGGUGGGAGGCUUAGAAGUGUGGACGCCAGUCUGCAUGGAGCCGACCUUGAAAUACCACCCUUUAAUGUUUGAUGUUCUAACGUUGACCCGUAAUCCGGGUUGCGGACAGUGUCUGGUGGGUAGUUUGACUGGGGCGGUCUCCUCCUAAAGAGUAACGGAGGAGCACGAAGGUUGGCUAAUCCUGGUCGGACAUCAGGAGGUUAGUGCAAUGGCAUAAGCCAGCUUGACUGCGAGCGUGACGGCGCGAGCAGGUGCGAAAGCAGGUCAUAGUGAUCCGGUGGUUCUGAAUGGAAGGGCCAUCGCUCAACGGAUAAAAGGUACUCCGGGGAUAACAGGCUGAUACCGCCCAAGAGUUCAUAUCGACGGCGGUGUUUGGCACCUCGAUGUCGGCUCAUCACAUCCUGGGGCUGAAGUAGGUCCCAAGGGUAUGGCUGUUCGCCAUUUAAAGUGGUACGCGAGCUGGGUUUAGAACGUCGUGAGACAGUUCGGUCCCUAUCUGCCGUGGGCGCUGGAGAACUGAGGGGGGCUGCUCCUAGUACGAGAGGACCGGAGUGGACGCAUCACUGGUGUUCGGGUUGUCAUGCCAAUGGCACUGCCCGGUAGCUAAAUGCGGAAGAGAUAAGUGCUGAAAGCAUCUAAGCACGAAACUUGCCCCGAGAUGAGUUCUCCCUGACUCCUUGAGAGUCCUGAAGGAACGUUGAAGACGACGACGUUGAUAGGCCGGGUGUGUAAGCGCAGCGAUGCGUUGAGCUAACCGGUACUAAUGAACCGUGAG
rnacentral:rRNA from 1 species